rnacentral:rRNA from 1 species
GCCACUGCUAUUGGGGUUCGGCUAAGCCAUGCGAGUGGAGGGCGUCCCGCAAGGGAUGGCCCCGCGGACGGCUCAGUAACACGUCGUCAACCCACCUUAGGGUGGGGGACAACCUCGGGAAACUGAGGAUAAUCCCCCAUAGGCGGGGGAGGCUGGAAUGCGCCCCCGCUGAAAGCUCAGGCGCCCUAGGACGGGACGGCGGCCUAAUCAGGUAGUU